UUGGCUACUGCAAGGACAAGGCAGAGUCAGUGCCUGGAGGAGCUCCCUACAAGAAACAUCAUGGAGAACUCCUUCUGGGUUGGUUUGUGGUUUAACAGAGCCCUGGUGGGUCUCUCAGGGAUCCUGACUCAGCCAAGCCCCUACAGCUUCACAGAGCUUCUCUUCAUGCAUAUCCACAUUGCCCCAGGUGUAGGUGCCAUCUGUAUCUGCAUGAUAUUUCAUGAGAAAUAAUGAAGGGAAAGAAAAUUACAAGAAACGGGACAUGGUACUAUGAGGAAAGGUUGAGUGCUACAGUGAUAUCAUGCCAAUUGUGUGAUUUGGACUUGACCUAGAUAAUAUCCUUCUUUUGGAUGAUUAGAAAGUUCUCACUGGAUGUUCCAUAUAGGUAGAACCUUAUAAAAUAAGGGCCUUGUUACCCUUGUAAAUUCAUGGCUCAGGCCUGCUACUUUGGCUAAGCAAAGAAGGGCUAUGGGAAAGUGACUCAGCUGAACUGGAGGUAGAAAAACAAAUUAUGUAACCAUUUUGUGUUCCCAUUGGGGUGUAUGGUGGUUGCUUGAAUUGUAUUUGUUAUACUUAAAUGGAAUAUAACUGAUAAUGGGCUAACUGCUUAAAAAGGCCUGGGUUUUGCAAUAAAGGGCUCUCCUUUACACCUGCCUGGGGACCUGCUUCACUUUGCUUUGUACGUCUGGAAUGUCAACAAGCCAGUGUUCCUCAUCAUCACUUAGUCACAAAUUAAUCCCGCUUAGUCACGCUAUUAUGGGAGGAUUGUUUUGGUGUUUUUUAAGACUCCUGAGUUGCAAGAAAAUAUUUAUCUUAAAUGUUACCUGGUGAAAACUGCAGUUGUUUCAAUUCUCACCAAAGAUGUAAUCACUGAAAUGUACUGGUUUUGUUUUUCUUGAGGAAAAUGUUUUGAUAUUUGUGGUUAUGUGGUUUCUAUUCCUGAAUGGAAAGGCCGUUACAAAAUCAAUAAAAAAAUUCUUGGGUU